rnacentral:lncRNA from 1 species
AUGUUUAACCUACAGUCCUAUAGUAAAUACAUUACUACAUACUUUAACCUACAGUCCUAUAGUAAAUACAGACUAUUCCUGCCCAUCUUUAACCUACAGUCCUAUAGUAAAUACAGGCUAUUCCUGCCCAUCUUUAACCUACAGUCCUAUAGUAAAUACAGGGUAUUCCUGCCCAUCUUUAACCUACAGUCCUAUAGUAAAUACAGACUAUUCCUGCCCAUCUUUAACCGACAGUCCUAUAGUAAAUACAGGCUAUUCCUGCCCAUCUUUAACCUACAGUCCUAUAGUAAAUACAGGCUAUUCCUGCCCAUCUUUAACCUACAGUCCUAUAGUAAAUACAGGCUAUUCCUGCCCAUCUCUAACCUACAGUCCUAUAGUAAAUACAGGCUAUUCCUGCCCAUCUUUAACCUACAGUCCUAUAGUAAAUACAUUACUACAUACUCUAACCUACAGUCCUAUAGUAAAUACAGACUAUUCCUGCCCAUCUCUAACCUACAGUCCUAUAGUAAAUACAGGCUAUUCCUGCCCAUCUUUAACCUACAGUCCUAUAGUAAAUACAGGCUAUUCCUGCCCAUCUUUAACCUACAGUCCUAUAGUAAAUACAGGCUAUUCCUGCCCAUCUCUAACCUACAGUCCUAUAGUAAAUACAGGCUAUUCCUGUACAUCUUUAACCUACAGUCCUAUAGUAAAUAUAUUACUACAUACUUUAACCUACAGUCCUAUAGUAAAUACAUUACUACAUACUCUAACCUACAGUCCUAUAGUAAAUACAGGCUAUUCCUGCCCAUCUUUAACCUACAGUCCUAUAGUAAAUACAGGCUAUUCCUGCCCAUCUUUAACCUACAGUCCUAUAGUAAAUACAGGCUAUUCCUGCCCAUCUCUAACCUACAGUCCUAUAGUAAAUACAGGCUAUUCCUGCCCAUCUUUAACCUACAGUCCUAUAGUAAAUACAGGCUAUUCCUGCCCAUCUUUAACCUACAGUCCUAUAGUAAAUACAGGCUAUUCCUGCCCAUCUCUAACCUACAGUCCUAUAGUAAAUACAGGCUAUUCCUGUACAUCUUUAACCUACAGUCCUAUAGUAAAUACAGGCUAUUCCUGCCCAUCUUUAACCUACAGUCCUAUAGUAAAUACAUUACUACAUACUCUAACCUACAGUCCUAUAGUAAAUACAGACUAUUCCUGCCCAUCUCUAACCUACAGUCCUAUAGUAAAUAUAUUACUACAUACUCUAACCUACAGUCCUAUAGUAAAUAUAUUACUACAUACUUUAACCUACAGUCCUAUAGUAAAUACAGACUAUUCCUGCCCAUCUUUAACCUACAGUCCUAUAGUAAAUACAGGCUAUUUUUGCCCAUCUUUAACCUACAGUCCUAUAGUAAAUACAGGCUAUUCCUGCCCAUCUUUAACCUACAGUCCUAUAGUAAAUACAGGCUAUUUUUGCCCAUCUUUAACCUACAGUCCUAUAGUAAAUACAGGCUAUUCCUGUCCAUCUCUAACCUACAGUCCUAUAGUAAAUACAGACUAUUCCUGCCCAUCUUUAACCUACAGUCCUAUAGUAAAUACAGGCUAUUCCUGCCCAUCUUUAACCUACAGUCCUAUAGUAAAUACAGGCUAUUCCUGCCCAUCUUUAACCUACAGUCCUAUAGUAAAUACAGGGUAUUCCUGCCCAUCUUUAACCUACAGUCCUAUAGUAAAUACAGACUAUUCCUGCCCAUCUUUAACCUACAGUCCUAUAGUAAAUACAGGCUAUUCCUGCCCAUCUUUAACCUACAGUCCUAUAGUAAAUACAGGCUAUUCCUGCCCAUCUUUAACCUACAGUCCUAUAGUAAAUACAGGCUAUUCCUGCCCAUCUUUAACCUACAGUCCUAUAGUAAAUACAGACUAUUCCUGCCCAUCUUUAACCUACAGUCCUAUAGUAAAUACAGACUAUUCCUGCCCAUGUUUAACCUACAGUCCUAUAGUAAAUACAUUACUACAUACUUUAACCUACAGUCCUAUAGUAAAUACAGACUAUUCCUGCCCAUCUUUAACCUACAGUCCUAUAGUAAAUACAGGCUAUUCCUGCCCAUCUUUAACCUACAGUCCUAUAGUAAAUACAGGCUAUUCCUGCCCAUCUUUAACCUACAGUCCUAUAGUAAAUACAGACUAUUCCUGCCCAUCUUUAACCUACAGUCCUAUAGUAAAUACAGGCUAUUUUUGCCCAUCUUUAACCUACAGUCCUAUAGUAAAUACAGACUAUUCCUGCCCAUCUUUAACCUACAGUCCUAUAGUAAAUACAGACUAUUCCUGCCCAUCUUUAACCUACAGUCCUAUAGUAAAUACAUUACUACAUACUGUAACCUACAGUCCUAUAGUAAAUACAGGCUAUUCCUGCCCAUGUUUAACCUACAGUCCUAUAGUAAAUAUAUUACUACAUACUUUAACCUACAGUCCUAUAGUAAAUACAGGCUAUUCCUGCCCAUCUUUAACCUACAGUCCUAUAGUAAAUACAGGCUAUUCCUGCCCAUCUUUAACCUACAGUCCUAUAGUAAAUACAGGCUAUUCCUGCCCAUCUUUAACCUACAGUCCUAUAGUAAAUACAUUACUACAUACUUUAUCCUACAGUCCUAUAGUAAAUACAUUACUACAUACUUUAUCCUACAGUCCUAUAGUAAAUACAUUACUACAUACUUUAACCUACAGUCCUAUAGUAAAUACAGGCUAUUCCUGCCCAUCUUUAACCUACAGUCCUAUAGUAAAUACAGACUAUUCCUGCCCAUCUCUAACCUACAGUCCUAUAGUAAAUACAGACUAUUCCUGUCCAUCUUUAACCUACAGUCCUAUAGUAAAUACAGGCUAUUCCUGCCCAUCUCUAACCUACAGUCCUAUAGUAAAUACAGACUAUUCCUGUCCAUCUCUAACCUACAGUCCUAUAGUAAAUACAGACUAUUCCUGUCCAUCUCUAACCUACAGUCCUAUAGUAAAUACAGACUAUUCCUGCCCAUCUUUAUCCUACAGUCCUAUAGUAAAUACAGGCUAUUCCUGCCCAUCUCUAACCUACAGUCCUAUAGUAAAUACAGACUAUUCCUGUCCAUCUCUAACCUACAGUCCUAUAGUAAAUACAGACUAUUCCUGCCCAUCUUUAACCUACAGUCCUAUAGUAAAUACAGACUAUUCCUGCCCAUCUUUAACCUACAGUCCUAUAGUAAAUACAGACUUUUCCUGCCCAUCUUUAACAUGUGGCCCCUUGUCUUCUCCACAGGUUGUCAAGGCUCAAGACCAGAUAUCUGGAGACAGUCAGAACCAACAGACAGACAGGGAAAUUCACAGCAGAGUUACCUGUCUUAA